rnacentral:rRNA from 1 species
AGAGUUUGAUUCUGGCUCAGGAUGAACGCUAGCGGCACGCUUCAUACAUGCAAGUCGAGGGGCAGCAUAAAUUACUUGUAAUUUGAUGGCGACCGGCGAACGGGUGCGUAACGCGUAUGCAACUUACCUUUUACUAGAGAAUAGCCAAGAGAAAUUUUGAUUAAUGCUCUAUACUCUUAUUAACUCACAUGAGUUUUUAAGAAAAGCUCCGGCGGUAAAAGAUGGGCAUGCGUCCUAUUAGCUUGUAGGUGAGGUAACGGCUCACCUAAGCUCCGAUAGGUAGGGGUCCUGAGAGGGAGAUCCCCCACACUGGUACUGAGACACGGACCAGACUUCUACGGAAGGCAGCAGUAAGGAAUAUUGGACAAUGGAGGAAACUCUGAUCCAGCGAUGCCGCGUGAAGGAAGACGGCCCUAUGGGUUGUAAACUUCUUUUAUACAGGAAUAAACCUAUCCACGUGUGGAUAGCUGAAGGUACUGUAAGAAUAAGGAUCGGCUAACUCCGUGCCAGCAGCCGCGGUAAUAC